rnacentral:lncRNA from 1 species
UGUCAUACAGCCUUACUAUCAUCUCAGCAGUAGCUAUCUGCCCCCUUCGGAUAGACUCCAAUAUGGCCUCCAUCAUGGACAUAUACAUGUCCCUCAUCUGGAACGGUUCUACAUGCUGUGCAGGUGCAUCCUCCUGCUGGGCUGCUCCUCUCCUAGGAUUGCAUCCUCCUGCUGGGCUGCUCCUCUCCUAGGAUGUCUCAUAGGUACUACUCCAGCUGCCUCGUCU